AAUCAUAUGGUGGGGACAUGCUUCGAGAAGAUUAUUGAAGCGCUCCCAGUAUUCGUAGAGAGUCUCAGAUUUGUCCUGAAUGAUCAUGGAAAUAUCUUUCCUCAGUUU